rnacentral:misc_RNA from 1 species
UUUAAGGGAGACCUACCCAACUUAUUGAUUCAAUUGCGAUUAGUAAAAAUAACAAUUGAGGUAAUAUCGGUAAGAUGGUCAUUCCUAAGGUCGUUCGAGGAUUGGCGUUUAAAAGCUUUCAAACUAUAAUUUCGGUUUAUUUAUGGUCAUGAUUUAGCACCUAAACAAAGGUUAGUUCGAGUUUAGAAUGCUGGGAUUAUUACCAGCCAGAACCAUGAAAACUGCAUAGUGACGCAAAAGUAAAGUAGGUAGCAAUCUAUUUACGACUGAAUAAUUUUCCGGUUGGCAACAACUUGGGGAUUGAUAAGUCAAAAUUUGAUUGAGUACGUAUAUAACAGACAAUUGAUUAAGAUUAAUU